rnacentral:rRNA from 1 species
AUACGUAGGGUGCGAGCGUUGUCCGGAAUUACUGGGCGUAAAGAGCUCGUAGGUGGUUUGUCGCGUCGUCUGUGAAAUUCCGGGGCUUAACUCCGGGCGUGCAGGCGAUACGGGCAUAACUUGAGUACUGUAGGGGAGACUGGAAUUCCUGGUGUAGCGGUGAAAUGCGCAGAUAUCAGGAGGAACACCGGUGGCGAAGGCGGGUCUCUGGGCAUUAACUGACGCUGAGGUACGAAAGCAUGGGUAGCGAACAGGAUUAGAUACCCUGGUGGUCCAUGCCAUAAACGGUGGGCGCUAGGUGUAAGGGUCGUCCACGGCUUCUUUGCCGUAGCUAUCGCAUUAAGCGCCCCGCCUGGGGAGUACGGCCGCAAGGCUAAAACUCAAAUGAAUUGACGGGG